CUCAUCAAUGGAUCGGUCCAUUGAUGAGGUCAGCACCCUCAUGAUCUAAUCACUUCUCUGGACCCCACCUCUGAACUUUGCUCUAUUGAGGAUCAAGCCCUCAAUAUGAGUCUUUGAGGAACAGGCAGAGAUGUGUUAAGGGAGCACAGUGAUUGCUCCUACAACCCCCUUAUUUGUGGUUUCACUUUCCAUGCUUUCAGUAACCCUUGGCCAACCUGGCUCCACAAUCCUCCUUCUGACAAAGGUGAUGACACAUUGUCUGCAUCAUUCACCUCAUUUCAUCUCAUCAGCUUCCCUGGACCCAGGUGGAGACUCUUGGAAGGCUGGUGGGAUAGAGUGGGGGCCAGCUCCAGGAGAUGCCUCUGUACCCCUAUACCCUAGGGUGGAUUUGGAGUUCUGCUUGCUACUCUGGACACCUACCUGGGUUCUGAGACCAGGAUCACUUGGGAAGAGGAAGAGCCUCCUCAUACACGAUGUGAGGUGCAUGGGUUUGUUUACUGCCAUCUGCUUGGGUACUGUCCUUACAGAAAUGAUUUCUUUGUCAAAAUACACGACAAGGAGCCUGGUUUUGCCCCAGGCUUCUGUUUCAUAACUCUUUUUAUUGGAGCAGAAAGAAGUGGCACAUUAUUGUUCUUCUGCUUCAUGUCUUCUCAUGGAUCAAGAAAGCAACAAGCACUUUGUACAAAUAGAAAAGCCUGCUUUGUUGUCUGAGGACAGGGAGGUGGGGUUGCAAGGAGAAGGCCUUUUACAGGCCAUAAAAGAGACACAGGGCACAAAGCAGGCUGGAGGCGACGGGCGAGAGGGCCUGGGAAUAGGUGGAAAGAAAUCACUUGCUCUUAAUCACUGGCUCAGAGAAGGUCCCACAUGUUUCUGUAUGAAAGUGAUCUUGGCAAGGCAUAUGUCAUGCCUGGUAGCUCCAUUUUUGUGAGAAGGAUCUUUUUGGGGGCAGUUUUAUGCACUAAUGUUUCUGAAAAUUGGAGUGACUUGGUCAGGUUGUUGAGGGGACUUUGAUAUUUUAAGAAACCUUGGUAACACUACUGAGACAAUCAGCAGCAUGCUUUCCUGCGUGUCACCUGCUCUCCUUGUAACCUAUCUGGGGCAAGGUGGCUAUUGUCAUGCUCAAUUACAGGCAGGCAGCCACAGCUUAGAGAAUGAGUUCUUCCCUCCACUUGAGUCAGGGUCAAUUCCUGAUGUGUGUGUUCCUUGUACAAAAUUGUUCAGUAAAGUAAGUCUCUGCCUAUAUUAUAUUAUUGGCUUCACAAACCUGAAGUUUUCCAUGUUGGACUUUAUUCAAGGGGAGCCCAAAGCUGAGUCAGCUAAGUUGCCACAACCUAAUAUGAUGAGUAUAUGACCUUGAGGGAGCUAAUUAAAAGAAUUAAUAUUUUUCUACAGCAUAAAAGAGACUAAACAACCAGAAAUUUCCUCCGACGCUGUUUUCUUUCCCUUACAAAGAUUUUGUUCCUAUUUUUCCAUUUUCUCAUAUUAAUUCCAUUCCCUUCUAUCCUUUCCCCUAGCCCUCCCACUUCCAGAUAAAUGUUCUUUUUUUAAAAAAAAUUAUUUUUAUUACUGCAUGUUCCUAGUACUUAAUGAUUACUAUAUUCAUUGUGGGUAGUUGGUAUAUGUACAGAUACUUUCUAGGACAGUGAUUUACACAUUUUUUUGAGUUUCAGACUCACCCGGAGAGUGUGUUGAAACAGAUUGCUGGAUCCCAUUCUUAGGGGUUCUGACUCAACAGGCCUGGGUGGAGCCAGAGAAUUGUAUUCUGAUCAAUCCUGUAGUGGUGUGGCUGCCGCUGGUUCAUGGACCUCACUUUGAGAACCACAGUAAUACAAUAGUUUUUUUUCCCUAUGUAUGCUCUAAUUGUGUCUAUCUUUAUAUCCCUACAUAUAUGCACAACAGAUGAAUAAAAAUGGAUCCAUGUGUUACUAAUAAUUUUGAAAUUUGCUUUCAUUUA
rnacentral:lncRNA from 1 species